rnacentral:rRNA from 1 species
UACGAAGGUGGCAAGCGUUGUUCGGAUUUACUGGGCGUACAGGGAGCGUAGGCGGUUGGAUAAGCCCUCCGUGAAAUCUCCAGGCUUAACCUGGAAAGUGCAGAGGGGGACUGUUCAGCUAGAGGAUGGGAGAGGAGCGCGGAAUUCCCGGUGUAGCGGUGAAAUGCGUAGAGAUCGGGAGGAAGGCCGGUGGCGAAGGCGGCGCUCUGGAACAUUUCUGACGCUGAGGCUCGAAAGCGUGGGGGAGCAAACAGG